rnacentral:rRNA from 1 species
AAUGAGCGCUGGCGGCAGGCCUAACACAUGCAAGUCGAACGGAUCCUUCGGGAUUAGUGGCGGACGGGUGAGUAACGCGUGGGAACGUGCCCUUUGGUUCGGAAUAGCCUCGGGAAACUGGGAGUAAUACCGGAUAAGCCCUUCGGGGGAAAGAUUUAUCGCCAAAGGAUCGGCCCGCGUUGGAUUAGGUAGUUGGUGGGGUAAUGGCCUACCAAGCCGACGAUCCAUAGCUGGUUUGAGAGGAUGAUCAGCCACACUGGGACUGAGACACGGCCCAGACUCCUACGGGAGGCAGCAGUGGGGAAUCUUAGACAAUGGGGGAAACCCUGAUCUAGCCAUGCCGCGUGAUCGAUGAAGGCCUUAGGGUUGUAAAGAUCUUUCAGUUGGGAAGAUAAUGACGGUACCAACAGAAGAAGCCCCGGCUAACUCCGUGCCAGCCGCCGCGGUAAUAC